UCUUGAAGACUGGAUGCUAAAACCAUACAUGUAUGAAGCAGCAGAAGAAUAGCCAUUCAGACCAAUAUUUCAACUCAGUGAUUAACUUUAAGGCAAAUAGCCACCAUAAAGAAUAAGAAUACAUCAGAGCAGCUUGGAGAAAAUGAAAAGCAAUAAAUAAAAAAUAGUAAUAAAAGGCUCACAGUGAAUGGCAUCUCAAAUUUCUUAAUCUUGAAGUCCAGCUAAAAUUAAAAGUAAAUACCUGAAUCAACCAAUGACUAGAAAG
rnacentral:misc_RNA from 1 species